GCCUUGUGAGAGGGAGCGGAGUUUGCUUCCGCGCGGGGACCAGUGGCGCGGGGGGCUGAGGCCCGGGGUCCCCGCCGCCGCGCGGGCUCAACAGCAGUCGCCGCCGCCGCCGCCACUCGCUAGACCGCCUCCUCUUCCCAUGGCUGCGCCCUGCUUGGCAGCUCGCGAGCUGUCAGGCUUGGGGAGGAGGGAGGGGCGGAGACCAGAGGAUGGGAGGGAGGGCCAGGGUGGGAAAGGCGGCCGCAGUUCACCAAGGGUCACGUCGGGCGGGCCCGCAGCUCCUCGGAUCCCGGCUAAGGAAGCGAGGGAAGCGGGAAUUCAGGGCUGCCUCUUCCAGGAGGCCCGCUGCCGAGAGGCUGAGCGCCGCCGGGGCCACGCAUUCCCAGCAGCUGGGAUGAAGCCUUCCCAGCGAGGAGUUGGAGUUGGGGAUCGAACUCGGGUCCUUGCGCUUGCGCAGCAAGAAGCGAAACCGCUGAGCUAAAUCCCCGGCCCAUAAAACAUCAUUCUUUACAAGAUAUAAAUUAUCCAUAUUGCUCAUAAGAUAAAAGGCAUGUUUUUGUUUCAAGUGCAUAAUCUUCUAAACCAAUAUGUGUGAAAAAUUGUUCUUGGAGCUUAUGAUAUAUAUACUUGAGAUGAAGUGGAUGAUACAGCAGUGACAUUGUGACUGAGGAGUCUGCUCCUCUUCUGAAUAGUCUCAUGAAGAUUCCUGAAUGGGAAAUUGCUGCCAGAAAUUAAAGCCUAGUUCACUAAGAAAAUUGAAGGAAUCUGAGAAGACCUUCCAUGGACCUACUGUUCACCGUCAAAUUUACCUCAACUUCCAGCAUCUGUCCACACACAAACCAUCUUCAUACUUACAAUCAAUUUUUCUCCUUUUGCUAAAGCUAGACUUCUUUCUUGUGCUCAAGAUCCCAUGUCAUCUCAC
rnacentral:lncRNA from 1 species